GACGAACGCUGGCGGCGUGCCUAACACAUGCAAGUUGAGCGAUGAAGAUUGGUGCUUGCACCAAUUUGAAGAGCAGCGAACGGGUGAGUAACGCGUGGGGAAUCUGCCUUUGAGCGGGGGACAACAUUUGGAAACGAAUGCUAAUACCGCAUAACAACUUUAAACAUAAGUUUUAAGUUUGAAAGAUGCAAUUGCAUCACUCAAAGAUGAUCCCGCGUUGUAUUAGCUAGUUGGUGAGGUAAAGGCUCACCAAGGCGAUGAUACAUAGCCGACCUGAGAGGGUGGUCGGCCACAUUGGGACUGAGACACGGCCCAAGCUCCUACGGGAGGCAGCAGUAGGGAAUCUUCGGCAAUGGACGAAAGUCUGACCGAGCAACGCCGCGUGAGUGGAGAAGGGUUUCGGAUCGUAAAACUCUGUUGGUAGAGAAGAACGUUGGUGAGAGUGGAAAGCUCAUCAAGUGACGGUAACUACCCAGAAAGGGACGGCUAACUACGUG
rnacentral:rRNA from 1 species